rnacentral:rRNA from 1 species
CCUACGGGGGGCAGCAGGGGGGAAUAUUGGACAAUGGGGGGAACCCGGAUCCAGCCAUGCCGCGUGUGUGAAGAAGGCCCUCGGGUUGUAAAGCACUUUCAGUGAGGAAGAACGCCUGGUGGUUAAUACCCAUCAGGAAAGACAUCACUCACAGAAGAAGCACCGGCUAACUCCGUGCCAGCAGCCGCGGUAAUACGGAGGGUGCGAGCGUUAAUCGGAAUUACUGGGCGUAAAGCGCGCGUAGGUGGCUUGAUAAGCCGGUUGUGAAAGCCCCGGGCUCAACCUGGGAACGGCAUCCGGAACUGUCAAGCUAGAGUGCAGGAGAGGAAGGUAGAAUUCCCGGUGUAGCGGUGAAAUGCGUAGAGAUCGGGAGGAAUACCAGUGGCGAAGGCGGCCUUCUGGACUGACACUGACACUGAGGUGCGAAAGCGUGGGUAGCAAACAGGAUUAGAUACCCCUGUAGUC